UCGCAUCACAGAAUCGCGCUCAUUUCUUAAAUCGCAACAUUUAAUGAAGAACUAGUAUCUCCAAAGCGUAUGUACAUAUUCGGCAGGCGUAAUAACACUUUGGCUCGCGAGAGGUGCCACGGUUGAAACGUCAUCAGACUGGACGAAUCGCGUAGCUGGUAGCUCCCAGCUGUGUUUGGUAAACAGAAGCAGCCACUGGAGUACCAGUGCUAUCAUCCAGCAGUACCGAAGAAGAAGAAAACUCGGCCGAAACUGUUGAAAAAACUAAAUCUUUGACACGUAAGACUUGUUAUAUGCACAUAUCUUCUGUGAAGCAUGAAAAAACAGAAUUUCACCAGCAUACGGUGGAAUACUUACCGAAACAGCCUUCGGCAGUGGCUGGAGUUGAGGGGUGAGUGCAGAGACGUAUCCGAAAAUUACAAACACUGUCUUGACUUGGAUUUUGAUAAAAUUCCCGAAGACGCGGCUUUCCAUCCCACAUGUUACCGGAGGUUCAUUGACAAGCGCGAAAUUGAAAGAGCAAAAAGCCAUCUCGUGUGAGAGAAAGAGCGGGGAGAUGAGACCCCCAGACCAGCGAGGCUAUCCCUGCAACAGUGACUGGCACGACUCCGACAAGGAAACUUCGUUCCAGAUCAAGCCUGCCCAUCUCGAGCUCUGGCCCCGUCCUUCCUGCCAUCUGUAUAAUAUGCAAGAAAACCUGCAAAUAUGUCGUCAAGGCUGGCAGACGACAAAAAGAAGCUUUGUCAAAGACACAGACUUUAACCGCAGGCAAGUUGCAGGAAGCUGCUGAAGUAAAGGAUGACCAUAGCAUUCUCGUUCACGUCAAGGACAAAGACUGUGUGGCUCCGGAGGUGCAGUACCACAAAAGUUGCUACCGACAGUACACAAGGUUUUUGAGUGAUCCUGACAGAGCAUAGAAAGAACAGAUUGAGCCAACGUUUGAUCUCAGCUAUAAGUUGUUCUGUGAGAGGGUAAUCCGUCAAAGGCUGCUGAUCAACCAAGAGGUGCUGAGAAUGAGCCAACUGAGGAAGACCUUUAUUGACCUGGUGCAGUCAAGUGAAGGUGUUGAUGCUUCAAGCUACAGACAGGAUACAUUGAAGAGGAGACUCACCUGUGAUUUUCCUCAGCUUGUGUUCCAAUAGCAUGUCAUGUGGUUUUUACCUCGA